rnacentral:rRNA from 1 species
UACGUAGGCAGCAAGCGUUGUUCGGAGUUACUGGGCGUAAAGGGUGUGUAGGCGGUUGCUUAAGUUUGGUGUGAAAUCUCCCGGCUCAACUGGGAGGGUGCGCCGAAUACUGGGUGACUAGAGUGCGGGAGAGGAAAGUGGAAUUCCUGGUGUAGCGGUGAAAUGCGUAGAUAUCAGGAGGAACACCGGUGGUGUAGACGGCUUUCUGGACCGUAACUGACGCUGAGACACGAAAGCGUGGGUAGCAAACAGG